CAGGGACCAUGCUUAUUGUUGGCAUCACUUCAUUCGUUUUGGGAGCUGUAAAUCUUGCUGCAGUUCUGGCUUUGCUUGUAUUUGCAAAGUGCAUCAAAAUACUCCACAAUAAAGAUUCUGCUCUGAAGGGAGAAGAGGAGAUCAACCUACCGUCUAACGGGACAAACGAUCCUGAUAAAGAUGCUUCAAAGCUGCCACUGCAGUCAGCUGAGUGUUAGCGUUACAUCUGAUGAAAAGGUGUGUGAACAACCUGAGUUUCCUGAGUGAGAGGACAUUCAGGUCCUCACCUGGUGCAGACCUUCAAAAGCCUUUCUGAGGGGCCAGUUAGAAUAAGGUUGAUGUUAAACAAGAGUUACUCCAGGUGAAAAACCGUAACCUCUUUUCCACACAGCAUUGUUUUGUAUACCGAGUGAUCAAAGCUAUGAAAUGUAGUUUAGCCAUCAAGUGUGUGUCAUUCUGGAUUUGUUAUUUGACUGAUGUCCUAAUGAAUGUAUUAAAUAUACAUGUCUGGGGAUAAUUUAACUGUAAAUCAUGUCGUUACACACGUUUCUCUCCUCAGUGAGACUUAUUGAGGGGAUUUCUUUAAGUUGCAGAUGAAAUAUGUGCCUUUUUAAUAUUCUCAGUUUCUCUUGUCUUUGCUCUCAGCUAAUGCUCCUGAACAUGUUAUCAUGUGUUAUCUGAGUGUAUUAUCUGCCAAAAAUGAACCUGUUGUAAUGCCUGAUGCCCGUAAUGCCUGAUGCCCAUCUAAGAAAUGCACUUCUGCUUUUGUUAAGAGAACUGAAUAGGAAUCACUUAACCCUGUACCUGUGUUAUAUGAGUGCACGUGUGAGUCAUGGUUUAUUGUACUGUGUUUCUCCGAUGCAACACCUGUCUCACUAAAGACUUUACAGACUUCUUAAUCUCUUUCAUUUUUUGUAAAGCACUUUGAAUUGCCUUGUGUUGAAAAGUGCUAUAUAAAUAAACUUGCCUUGCCUUG